rnacentral:rRNA from 1 species
UACGAAGGGGGCUAGCGUUGCUCGGAAUCACUGGGCGUAAAGGGUGCGUAGGCGGGUCUUUAAGUCAGGGGUGAAAUCCCGGAGCUCAACUUCGGAACUGCCUUUGAUACAGCACGUCUUGAGUCCGGAAGAGGUGGGUGGAAUUCCUAGUGUAGAGGUGAAAUCGUAGAUAUUAGGAAGAACACCGGUGGCGAAGGCGGCCCGACUG